rnacentral:rRNA from 1 species
UACGGAGGGUGCAAGCGUUAUCCGGAUUCACUGGGGUUUAAAAGGGUGCGUAGGUGGGUUGGUAAGUCAGUGGUGAAAUCUCCGUGCUUAACAUGGAAACUGCCAUUGAUACUACUGAUCUUGAAUUUUCUGGAGGUAAGCGGAAUAUGUCAUGUAGCGGUGAAAUGCUUAGAUAUGACAUAGAACACCAAUUGCGAAGGCAGCUUACUACACAAUGAUUGACGCUGAGGCACGAAAGCGUGGGGAUCAAACAGGA